AAGGUUUCCGUAGGUGAACCUGCGGAAGGAUCAUUAACCUUUCAAAACAGGGUGCGUCGCGGCCCCCGAGGUGCGGAAACAAGCCUCGAGCGGUUUGGGGUCCUCCCCUUCACGCGCGCACGACUGCCAUCCUUACUUUACGAGCACCUUCUGUUCUCCCUCGGCGGGGCAACCUGCCGUUGGAACCGAAUAAACUCUUUUUGCAUCUAGCAUUACCUGUUCCGAAACAAACAAUCGUUACAACUUUCAACAAUGGAUCUCUUGGCUCUGGCAUCGAUGAAGAACGCAGCGAAAUGCGAUAAGUAGUGUGAAUUGCAGAAUUCAGUGAAUCAUCGAAUCUUUGAACGCACAUUGCGCCCCUCGGUAUUCCGUGGGGCAUGCCUGUUCGAGCGUCAUCUACACCCUCAAGCUCUGCUUGGUGUUGGGCGUCUGUCCCGCCUCCGCGCGUGGACUCGCCCCAAAUUCAUUGGCAGCGGUCCUUGCCUCCUCUCGCGCAGCACAUUGCGCUUCUUGAGGGGCUCCGGUUCGCGUCCAACAAGCACAUUUACCGUCUUUGACCUCGGAUCAGGUAGGGAUACCCGCUGAACUUAAGCAUAC
rnacentral:misc_RNA from 1 species